AGAGCACUGUUUCGGCUAGGGGGCCAUCCCGGCUUACCAACCCGAUGCAAACUGCGAAUACCGGAGAAUGUUAUCACGGGAGACACACGGCGGGUGCUAACGUCCGUCGUGAAGAGGGAAACAACCCAGACCGCCAGCUAAGGUCCCAAAGUCAUGGUUAAGUGGGAAACGAUGUGGGAAGGCCCAGACAGCCAGGAUGUUGGCUUAGAAGCAGCCAUCAUUUAAAGAAAGCGUAAUAGCUCACUGGUCGAGUCGGCCUGCGCGGAAGAUGUAACGGGGCUAAACCAUGCACCGAAGCUGCGGCAGCGACACUGUGUGUUGUUGGGUAGGGGAGCGUUCUGUAAGCCUGUGAAGGUGUGUCGUGAGGCAUGCUGGAGGUAUCAGAAGUGCGAAUGCUGACAUAAGUAACGAUAAAGCGGGUGAAAAGCCCGCUCGCCGGAAGACCAAGGGUUCCUGUCCAACGUUAAUCGGGGCAGGGUGAGUCGACCCCUAAGGCGAGGCCGAAAGGCGUAGUCGAUGGGAAACGGGUUAAUAUUCCCGUACUUGGUGUUACUGCGAAGGGGGGACGGAGAAGGCUAUGUUGGCCGGGCGACGGUUGUCCCGGUUUAAGCGUGUAGGUGUGUGUUCCAGGUAAAUCCGGUUCACUUUAACACUGAGGCGUGACGACGAGGCACUACGGUGCUGAAGCAACAAAUGCCCUGCUUCCAGGAAAAGCCUCUAAGCAUCAGGUAACAUCAAAUCGUACCCCAAACCGACACAGGUGGUCAGGUAGAGAAUACCAAGGCGCUUGAGAGAACUCGGGUGAAGGAACUAGGCAAAAUGGUGCCGUAACUUCGGGAGAAGGCACGCUGACACGUAGGUGAAGUGAUUUACUCAUGGAGCUGAAGUCAGUCGAAGAUACCAGCUGGCUGCAACUGUUUAUUAAAAACACAGCACUGUGCAAACACGAAAGUGGACGUAUACGGUGUGACGCCUGCCCGGUGCCGGAAGGUUAAUUGAUGGGGUCAGCGCAAGCGAAGCUCCUGAUCGAAGCCCCGGUAAACGGCGGCCGUAACUAUAACGGUCCUAAGGUAGCGAAAUUCCUUGUCGGGUAAGUUCCGACCUGCACGAAUGGCGUAAUGAUGGCCAGGCUGUCUCCACCCGAGACUCAGUGAAAUUGAACUCGCUGUGAAGAUGCAGUGUACCCGCGGCAAGACGGAAAGACCCCGUGAACCUUUACUAUAGCUUGACACUGAACAUUGAGCCUUGAUGUGUAG
rnacentral:rRNA from 1 species